ensembl:lncRNA
GAAAAUUGGACUUGAUCAUAACCCAGCGGCGCUGGGUUGUGAACGCGGACGUGAAGGAGAGCACGCACGUCACGUUAAAAUCGUACGUCUCCAGUGCAAGAAGCCGCCAUUUUCUCAGCGUGAAAGAAGCGAGAAGCGAGUGAAAGACAUUACGACUUGUUAAGCUCGUGUCUUCAUUGUCCCCGCACUGAGAGUUAAAGACACCUGCUCUUGUGAGGAGUCACGGACUGUGUGAGGAGGAGGCGUGUUCUCAGCUUCUUCUGAAGAGAGGGACAGACGGGUUUAAGAACUCAAACCAACUUUGGAGUUGUCUGAUUUGGAGAGUCAUCAUUCUUGGUCUUCCCUCUUAAGGGAAUAGUUCACACAAAAAAUCAUUUAGUUGCCCUCAUGUCAUUCCAAACCUAUACGACUU